UACGUAGGGUGCAAGCGUUGUCCGGAAUUAUUGGGCGUAAAGAGCUCGUAGGCGGUUUGUUGCGUCGGCUGUGAAAUCCCGAGGCUCAACCUCGGGUCUGCAGUCGAUACGAGCAAACUAGAGUGUUGCAGGGGAGACUGGAAUUCCUGGUGUAGCGGUGAAAUGCGUAGAUAUCAGGAGGAACACCGGUGGCGAAGGCGGGUCUCUGGGCAACAACUGACGCUGAGGAGCGAAAGCGUGGGGAGCGAACAGG
rnacentral:rRNA from 1 species